UACGUAGGGUGCAAGCGUUGUCCGGAAUUAUUGGGCGUAAAGAGCUCGUAGGCGGUUUGUCGCGUCUGCUGUGAAAACUCGGGGCUUAACCCCGGGCCUGCAGUGGGUACGGGCAGACUAGAGUGCGGUAGGGGAGACUGGAAUUCCUGGUGUAGCGGUGAAAUGCGCAGAUAUCAGGAGGAACACCGGUGGCGAAGGCGGUUCUCUGGGAAUAUCCUGACGCUGAGGAGCGAAAGUGUGGGGAGCGAACAGG
rnacentral:rRNA from 1 species